AUGUUUAGAACUAUUACCUGAAUAUUAAGGCUAUAUUCUAAAGCCCAGGCAGUACAAGAGCAAUGCAGGAAGCCCCUGAACUCUCUCCCUCCCAUGGACACCCUUAAGCUACAACUAUGUGUGAACCACAUUUCCUCCAACGGAGACCUGAAGACUAGCUGAGCAACCCCUUCAUUAUCAAACAAGAAAAAGGCCUGACUGAAGAUGGUAGGAGAGUCUGAGAACUAAUUCUGCCAUAAACCUGGCCCAAGGCACACAACCCACAAUUGGGAGGGAAUUUAUAAACCCAGAACCUCUCCUUGGGGAACGAAGGGCUCAUACUUCAAAUAGGACUCACCAGCUUUUCAGACGUAUGCCUGAGAUGAGCCUCCAAAACAUCUGCCUAUGGAAACUAAUGGUGUGCUCACAUUCAAGAGACCCAAAGGGCCGUGGAGAACUGAGGCACGGCUCUUGAAGGGCUUAAAUGGACUCACUUGCCACAGGAUCCAGUGCACAAGCAGCACUCUGAAAAGCAGACUUCACGUGAAACAUUCACUUGCUAGCUUUAAUGCAUCAUGUGGAGGCACAUGCUGGACUGUUCUCUGGGAUGGAGGCUGGUGGGUGCCAUCUUCGCAUUCCUCCUCUGCUGAGCUCCAAAGUGCCAGUAUCUCCUGGAAGGGAGCCUUUACACUUACAUUUUAAAGUUGCUGCCCAGGGAUGCCCUUUGGCUCUGGAGCCAGAGGGUCUUAUAUUCCUGGGUCCCAUGGGACUGGGACAACUGGGAGAUGGUUCUUGGCUAACUACCACCUACAGUGUACCGCACAGAUAGUGGACUGAAACAGGACUUUUUGUCCAGGAGCUCUGGCCUCAGGAGAAAGCUUCUGGUCUGGCAUGUAUCUAGGAGUCUGUGGCUGAGAAGCCUCUUUGCACUCUCCCCCUGCUUUCCCCAGCUUGAUGGCCUAUCCCCAAAUGGAGUUUGUACCUUUGUCCAGCACCCCAGUUUUUGCAGCUGCUGCAGGGGACACCUGUACAUUGUAUGGCUCUGGUGGCCAACAGGGCAAGGCUGAUGGGUCCCACAGGACAGAAAUCAAUGGAGAAGCAGCUACCUCCAGGGCACAGCAAGAGACAGCAGAUCCAAGAGCUCAGUCUUCCAGUGAAAGAGGUCUUAGUUUAUCAUCAUGGCUACAGCCGGAGGGGCAGGCUUCUAAUUAAAACACACAUCUAAGGAUUAGUUAUCAGAGGCCUCAGAGGGCAGGUGCUCUGUGCUCUCACUCUGCCUGUUCCAGAGCACCAACAUCUCUAGGAGGGGAGUUCUCACACCCUGUUUGGAAACCAGACCCUCAGGCAGCAGCUUUCAAUCAUCCUGAAUUUAGGUGGCGAGAGAUUCCCCUUUGGUACACUGACAGGUCUUGGCACAUCCUCAGCUACCAGGAGCUCUUAAAAAUAGUCUGCUUGGACAACCACAAGUUUGAGAAACAAAUGAUAGGGCAAGGUUGAAUGAAAAGGUUUAUCUUCAACAUUGGGAGAGGUGGCUGUUUCAUCUAAAGCACAGAAACCAACAAAGAGGAAAAAAAAAAAAGAAACAGGAAUAUGUUCCAAAUGAAAGAAUUAAGAUAAAACCUUGGAAAAAUACCUCAGUGAAAUGGAGAUAAAUAAUCUACUUGAUAAAGAGCUCAAACUAUGGCCAUGAAGAUGCUCACCAAAAUUGGAAGAAUGGAUGAACACAGAAGUUGGAAAAAAAAAAAAAAGUACCAAAUAGAAAUCACAAAGCUAAAGGAUACAAUAACAGAACUGAAAAAUUAGAGGGGUUUUCCAGCAGACAAGAUGAAGCAGAAGAAAGGAUCACUGAUCUUAAAGACAGGGUAUUAGAAUUCACCCACAGCGCAGGGGCGGGGGAGGGGGAAGCUUAAGAGACUUAGAGGAAAAUAUCAACUAACAUUCACAUGACAGGGAUCCCAGAAGAGACAGAAAGGGGCUGAAAACCUAGAAGAGGAACCCAACAUCCAGAAGCAGGAAGCCCAGAGAGAAUUCCAAAUAAAAUGAACCAAAAGAGACCCACACCAAAACACUAAUUGUCAAAAGUUAAAGACCAGGAUAAAAGCAGCCAAGAGAGGAACUUCUUAUAUACAAAAGAACCCCCAUACAAUAAUUAGCAGAUUUUACAGCAGGACUUUGCAGGCCAGAAAGGAGUGGCAUGAGAGAGUGCAAGUGCUGAAAGAAAAAGACUUCCAAUCAAGAAAGAAUAUACACUCUUGCAAAGUUAUCUUUCAGAACUAAAGGAGAAAGAGUAUUCCAGAACAACAAAAGCUAAAGGAAUCUGUCACCAUUAACUGGCCU